AGGAUUUUAAGUUUUGAAAUAAAGAGAAACCCAUUUUUAAUUACAAAUUAUGUCUCCUCACUCAUGCUACCUACUCUAGAUGCUAGAGCAUCACUCUCUCCUCUUCAUAACUUCUCAAUCAAGUGCCAAAGUGUAUUUUUCCCAUAGAUCAAUUAUUCUCUUCAAGAUUUCAGUUUAAUGACCCAAGUGGUUAAGAAUUGGGAGAAACCUUAAAACCAAAAUAAAACCCCAAACAAUAAUUUUCUCUCUCCUCUGAUUUUAUACCCCGUACUGUGCAUGCUCAAUUUCUGCAUUUUGGAGUUGGAAUUUGACCAAACUUAUGAAUCAAAGUUGAAGAUCUCGAAAAGUUAUUGAACUUAGACCCAAAAAUCACUUGAUUUGGAGUUCAGAGCUAUGAGUUAUGGUCUUUUUGUAGAUCACUUUGAGCUAAUGAAUUUGAGCACAAAAAUCGCUCAAUUUGGAGUUCGGAGCUAUGAGUUACGCCUUACACAAGUUUAGCACUACUGCUGUACUUUGUGUUGCGCUGCUGCCGUGAUUGGCUUGCUUGCCUUGUUGCUGCCAUUAUUUUGGUAUUCCUUUCCAUAUGAAGGGUUCAUUGUUAGUGAUUUUGCAGGGUUGAUGUGGAGGUCUUGGAAUAUGAUUAUUGAUCAAGAAGAAGAGUUUUAUGUUAUGAUAUGGUGGGCUGAGGUUAAAGUUAAAUGUUUUGUUUCAAAGUAUUCGUAAUCUGUUAUUUGAUUUUCAAGUUGUUAUAUUGUGGGCCCCUAAUCCACAGAUCCAGGAUCAUUUUUAUAGGUUUUGUUUCCGUUGUAAAUAAAUGCAAAUUCGAGGUUUGUUAAGUGUUGAUUGUGUUUUGUGUAUCUUAAGUGUGAUUAGUUAGCAGCUCGGAAGUGCGGGCUGUUACAGGUAUGAAUAAAUGUAAAUUCGAGGUUUUUAAAGUGUUGAUUGUGUUUUGUGUAUCUUAAUUGUAAUUAGUUAGCAGCUCGGAAGUGCGGGCUGUUACAGUGACUUAUAUAUGGUAUGUGUUUUGACAGGUUAUAAGAAUUGUGAAUUACCUGAGUAGUUUCAGAAUGGGAGGAGGAUUUAGAGUAUUGUAUUUGCUCAGACCAUUUUUGUCCUUCCUUCCUGAGGUGCAAAGUGCAGACAGGAAGGUUCCCUUCAGAGAAAAGGUCAUCUACACUGUUAUUUCGUUGUUCAUAUUUCUAGUGUGCAGUAAGCUUCCACUUUAUGGAAUUCACUCCACGACGGGUGCUGAUCCAUUCUAUUGGAUGCUUGUUAUCCUCGCUUCUAGCCGUGGAACUGUCAUGGAGCUCGGUAUCAUCUCUAUUGUGACGUCUGGGUUGGUAAUGCAGCUCUUGGCUGGGUCAAAGAUGAUUGAGGUUGACAACAAUGUCCGUGAGGACCGCACACUUUUAAGCCAAUCAAGAACUUAUAGUAGCCGAAGGUGGAAUCAGUCUCUUGUCAAUAACAGCUGAUGAUGCAGAAGAUCCACAAACUCUUCGCAUGGUUGCUGGAGUAAUGGCUAAUCUAUGUGGAAAUGGGGUAAUGAUGGUUGAACCGAGUUGCUUCGUGUGAUAUGAACUCAAUUCCUUCUUUGGAAAUGUGCCGAAUUUGACUCCGCCUCCACUGCCGCCAUCAGCAGCGCCUCUAGCACAAGCAACUAGUCAAGAAAAUUGAAGAAGCUGCUCAGAGAGGGGAGCUUGACGAACUUGUGCUAAUGGUCAUCUGGAAUCGACUUGAUCUUGCUAGAAGAAAAUUUUAGUUAUUGUGUCCUUUUUUUUUUUUGGCAAUUCAAAAUUAUUAUUGACAACCAAAAAAAUUGGGUACAAUCUACAGCGUUAGAGUAACAGACUACUCCUAAUGCCAACCAAACAAGCCAAAGCAGCUGCUUACAACACUAACAUUUGUUUUUGCUUCUCACUACAUCUAACAACAAUUCUAAAAAUGAUAUUUCUAACAAGUUGAUUAGGAUUUAUAUCUGAAUCCCUAAAAAACUUGGCAUUUCUCUGUAACCAGAUGGUAUACAAGCUCUCUAUAUACAUCAUAACAAACAACUUACUACUAUCCUUAGUGCUACAAGCUCUUUUGAUAGCCAA